rnacentral:tRNA from 1 species
AUAUCUAUAGUUUAUGGAAAAUAUUAAAUUGCAAAUUUAGUGAUGUAUUAAUGAUACUGGAUAUU